rnacentral:rRNA from 1 species
CCCUUAGAUGUCCGGGGCCGCACGCGCGCUACACUGAAGGAAUCAGCGUGGCUUUCUCCCUGACCCGAAAGGGUUGGGAAACCCGUUGAAUCUCCUUCGUGAUAGGGAUUGGGGCUUGAAAUUGUUCCCCAUGAACGAGGAAUUCCCAGUAAGCGCGAGUCAUAAGCUCGCGUUGAUUACGUCCCUGCCCUCUGUACACACCGCCCGUCGCUACUACCGAUUGAACGGUUUAGUGAGGGCCUCGGAUUGGUCUCGGCCCGCUCUUUACCGGGCGGCGCCGUUGGUCGAGAAGACGCUCGAACUUGAUCGUUUAGAGGAAGUAAAAGUCGUAACA